UACAGAGGUGGCAAGCGUUGUUCGGAAUUACUGGGCGUAAAGGGCGCGUAGGCGGCUUGGUCAGUCCCGUGUGAAAUCCCUCGGCUCAACUGAGGAACUGCACGGGAAACUGCCUGGCUUGAGUUCGGGAGAGGGAAGCGGAAUUCCGGGUGUAGCGGUGAAAUUCGUAGAUAUUCGCAAGAACACCAGUGGCGAAGGCGGCUCACUGGCCCGAUACUGACGCUGAGGUGCGAAAGCGUGGGGAGCAAACAGGG
rnacentral:rRNA from 1 species